rnacentral:rRNA from 1 species
AAUGGGUCAGCGACUUAUAUUCUGUAGCAAGGUUAACCGAAUAGGGGAGCCGAAGGGAAACCGAGUCUUAACUGGGCGUUAAGUUGCAGGGUAUAGACCCGAAACCCGGUGAUCUAGCCAUGGGCAGGUUGAAGGUUGGGUAACACUAACUGGAGGACCGAACCGACUAAUGUUGAAAAAUUAGCGGAUGACUUGUGGCUGGGGGUGAAAGGCCAAUCAAACCGGGAGAUAGCUGGUUCUCCCCGAAAGCUAUUUAGGUAGCGCCUCGUGAAUUCAUCUCCGGGGGUAGAGCACUGUUUCGGCAAGGGGGUCAUCCCGACUUACCAACCCGAUGCAAACUGCGAAUACCGGAGAAUGUUAUCACGGGAGACACACGGCGGGUGCUAACGUCCGUCGUGAAGAGGGAAACAACCCAGACCGCCAGCUAAGGUCCCAAAGUCAUGGUUAAGUGGGAAACGAUGUGGGAAGGCCCAGACAGCCAGGAUGUUGGCUUAGAAGCAGCCAUCAUUUAAAGAAAGCGUAAUAGCUCACUGGUCGAGUCGGCCUGCGCGGAAGAUGUAACGGGGCUAAACCAUGCACCGAAGCUGCGGCAGCGACACUAUGUGUUGUUGGGUAG